rnacentral:lncRNA from 1 species
UAUCAGAAAUGGGAAUUCUAGUCUGUUUAGCCAUAGGACAGAUAGAACAAGGGUUUCCCUGCUUAGAAGCAAAUGGAAAAGACAAUCCAGAAAUGUGUUUCAUGUUUGCAAAUGAAGUAUGAGCUAGUCUCAAAUGCCAAAUGUAAUUCAUGUCAGUUGUAACAACAUUAUUACAGAUGGAACUAUUUACAUUUGAAGGUAAAGCAACAACUUUAUGGCAACCAGUAGAGGAAGAAUUGUCAUGAUUACAAGAGUCAGACAUAGAGCAUACAAAAGUAGAUGAACAACCAGUAGAGGAUGCCAGUUGUAACAACAUUAUUAUAGAUGGAACUAUUUACAUUGGAAGGUAAAACAACAACUUUAUGGCAACCAGUAGAGGAAGAAUUGUCAUGAUUACAAGAGUAAGACAUAGAGCAUACAAAAGUAGAUGAACAACCAGUAGAGGAAGAAGGAGAAGCUGGAACCCAAGCAAGCUUGUAUAGACCAGCCUCCUCUUUACCAAGAUCCAGAGGCUUCCUCAUGAGAAGCAUACAUGGGAGGAGAAGUCUAAGCAGUGGAAUCCCCUAACUGAGUCUGUUGUAAUAGGCUCAUCAAUUGGUCAUAUUGUUGUCUGCUCAACCCUAGUAUCACAGAACUCUGGCCAUCUAUGUUUGUAACAGGGUGAUGGCUUUCAGGAGGAUUUCUUUGAGGAACAGACACAUUUCCUUCAGAAGAAGGAAAUCCACACCAGCAGUUAGAUGAGCAACAGCAGGUCUCCUCCCCUAGUUAAAUGUUGUACUUUGUGGAUACCCAUGAAUCAUGUAACACUUAUCAAUUAAGUGCCCAGAUUUUUUGCAGUAUCUACAUAAUAAAGAGCCUCUAGCUUGGUCAAAAUUAACUCUUUGUCUGAAAGGAGAAGGAUUAGGC